GACAGAAGAGAAACAUUAAAAUGACUGACAAGGAAAAUCAGAAGAUCUUAAAGCAGGUCAGUAUAUUUUUCUCCUUAUAUAAUUCCUCUGAAAUUUGGCAAUGCUUAAUAAAUCAUGGCAAUACAUUUAUUUGCAUAAAUUCAAUAAGGCUGGUUUCUAAUAGUGGUUUUAUUGAC